CGACUAUGCCCACAGGCUAAAGACGGAAGAUUUUGAAGUGUACUUUACUGGAAAAAAAAGACUUCUUCCAAGGCCUACAGAUAUAAGGCGCAGCCAGGUGACAACUCUACUAGAAUCCCUAUCCUGACAGAACUCUACAUACAAGCUGUCAUUUUUGACCACAUUUCCAGAAGGAAGACUUAAGUACCAACAUGUUAAUUUCCUAAUAAUUUGCUAAAUUUAAAUAAAUUCCGUAGACAGAGCAAAUUAGAAUAAUAAAUGAGCCCUG
rnacentral:sRNA from 1 species